rnacentral:tRNA from 1 species
GCCUGGUUGGCUCAGUCAGUUGAGUGUCUGACUUCAGCUUAGGUUAUGAUCUUGCGUUUGUGGGUUUAAGCCCUGCAUUGGGCU